rnacentral:lncRNA from 1 species
CGGCGGACGCGGACUGGGUCCCAAGACCACUGCGGUCUCAAUCCUGUGAGGGCCUCUCCUCCCGAAAGCACUGAGAUGUGCUGCCAAGAAGUCAGGGACUGGGGAUCAGGAAUUGUAGGCAAGCCAUCCCAAAAAAUUAUAACCUGAUAAUCCCUUACCUGACAAUUUAAAUGUGAAGAGGAAAGCGAUUCACUCUUACAAGCUCACUCCAAACUCCCCAAGGGCUCCAUGCAUCGACGCCUACAGUUGUAGAAACAACACUUCCUGACGCCCUUGCAGCCUCUAUCGCGCCGGCACAGAGGUAAGAGGACGAAGGGGCAGGAAAGUGAAAAUUCGGGGCACUCUCCCGGUUUCGUUACUGCCGAGGAAAAAUGCCGCAGGGUGAGCUGGGGGCACCAGGGCGUCGUUGCCAGGCAGCCGGGCCAGCUCGUCCCAAGGGCUCCUCCGAGGGAGGGCUCCCCCACCCCGACCACACACGGGACCGCCUCGGCCCACACGCACCCUUCAGCAAACGAGGCUGCGCCGCGUGGAGGCAGAGGACCAGGAGGACCACAGUGAGCGCAAAGAGGCUGCUCAGCUUCAUGACGCGGGAGAAGAGAGCGGGCAGCGUGGAGGCCCGAUCUCGGUUUAUAUGAUUUCAGAAAUGGGUACCUUUGAAGAGUUUUGCUGGAACAAAUUAACAUUUGAAACACACACAGCCACAAAGACAAGACAAGAUAACGAACCGUUAGCGAGAUAAUAUUUAGAUUUAUGGAGAAUAGCAAUACAUUGUGCCCUGCAGAGACCUAAGUUUAAGUCGUGUGAUGGAUGUUUUCUACUUUAACGCCUGUCUUUAUGUCUCCAUGACUUUCUAUGAACUUCGUUUGUCGAUAAAGUCAAAAGUCUAACUUGAGGUCAUUUUGGGGUGUGAACCCCAGAUCAAAUGACCCAUCUAGCUCUCUCAGCACUGCUGUAAAAGUGUGUGUUACUCCUGCCUGCUUGGUGGCAAAGAACGCACUCAUCUUAAGCAAUGCUGGUAAUCUGAGCCUCAGAAGUGAAUAAUGAAUAUCCAAAGUCCUACAGCAAGUUAGGGGCACAGAUGGAGCGGAACACAGUCUGUGGGAAGAAAACACCAAGAGUGUCUUGCUCUGGCACCCAAGAUGGAAAUGAGCGUGGGUGUAGCAGACAAUUUUCAUUUCUUGGCUUGUGAACUUGAGAAUACCAUUCCUAUCUGGAGGGAAUUCCCCUCCACAUGAGUCCUGGUAGUUAGAGACUCAGACCAUCUUUUAUAACAAAGCUGGAAAGAAAGCUGCCUGCUGUCUUGCUUCCCCUGUAGCACAACUUCAUGUGCACAUUUCCUGGGUUCAGAUAAGCAGAUGCACAAACUCUGGACUGGGCUUGAAAGCUCCUGAUAAUAAGAAGAGAGAGAUUAUUCCAGGGCAGCUACAGAAAUGGCAGCUGUAUUGGUCUUCUCAGAAGAGGAACGGAAAUGCUGGCUCAGGCAUUGCACAGGGUCUGCUUUGGGCAUAUUGGCUGAAGGAUGAAUGGCAGCCACACCCGCAGUGAUAACACUGAUGAGCUCCACAGAGGCCAGUAUUGGACUGCUGUUCUGCGUUCACAGCCUCCCUUGUUUUUGCCUUUUCUCCUGACUUGGGUAUCCAGGUUCCCUAGUGAUUUUGUGAACUCUCCAGAUCCUUUUCGGUUUAAAAGAUGGCUUCUUUGUAAUAAAAAAAUAAUGGACUUGGUGACUCUUGCUCUGGAAUGGUGGUCUGAGGAGCUCCAUGGAACCACUUCCCAAACAAAUAACCAUAACUUGUGAAAGUUUUUUUUUUAAAGAUUGUCACCUGAACUAACAUCUGUUGCCAAUCUUUUUUUUUUCUUCUUUUUCUUCUCUCCAAAGUGCCCUAGUACAUAGUUGUAUAUUCUAGUUGUAGGUCCUUCUGGCUCUGCUAUGUGGGACGCUGCCUCAGCAUACCUUGAUUAGUGGUGCUAGGUCUGUGCCCAAGAUCUGAACCAGUGAAACCCUGGGCCGCCAAAGGGGAGCGCACCAACUUAACCACUCGGCCAUGGCCUGGCCCUGUGAAAGUUAUUUUUAAAAACAACCAUUUGAAGUCUCCAGGAAUUGUCCUCAGGGCAUACAGCAAAUGAAGAAACAUUUAUUUUUAAACAUCUACUAAACCUUGUAAGAACAAAGAGAGUCUAUGGCACUUGAGCCACAAUCCGCUCCCUACUCACCAGCUCCCAGCUCAGAGUGACAGAAGGUCCAUUCUGGGCACAUAUAACCAAGAGGUGGG